rnacentral:sRNA from 1 species
GUUACAUUAGAGAAAUCAAUACCUCGGACUCCUACGCUGUGAAAUACCAACAGGCUGUAGACAAAAUACAGAAGGAUGUUACGUACACCCUGACACAGGUCAAUAACAUCUUGACAUCAGUGUCCAAAUUCGGCUACAAUAUUGAGAUUAGAGUGAGAAGACUGGACAUUCUGGCGGAAAACGUUGU